CUUUUUAAGCCCAUAACCACGUGUGUGAGGUGUAUACUUUUGUUUCAAAAUAGAUUUGUUUAAGACUUCCAAGAAACACUGAUUUAGCCCAUUGGAGUAAAAGGUUAAACCCUACUGGCUAUUGUGUAGGUAUUAAGCCAGAAGGGGACACCAAAUCCCCUAGUAUCUCUUUUCUCCUCCCCCCUAUUACCGUAGCAUAGGCUAUGCUUCAGCAAAUGUAGGCCUACCUGUCACAAUAAAAAAAGUUACCAUGACGAGAUGAUAUAUCUACAUGCAUUGUGAACUGCGCUCCAUACUGAGAUGGGCUGUAUGUCCCCGCCCUGAGCGUUGAUGAUUCAUCAUGCAGAGGACGUAGAGAAUCCAGAUUUAGACAUUGCAUUAAAUUUCAGUUCCAUUUCACGCCAUGCUGUUCAUAUAAAUAAUUUAUUAUAAUUUACCGGUUUCUCGCAAGUUAUUUAUCGGGAAAGGGGAGGUAUUUUGGGCGGUAAAUCCUGGUAAAUCUCAGUAACUGGGUUACCGCCAUUCAACCCUAGACCUGACCUCAGAGCUAUAGUAAAGUCCCCAUAUUUGUGGACCCUAUUUGAUUUGUUUUAUUGAAUUCAGUUUGGUAUGAGAAUGGUAGCCCCUAUCUGAAAAAGCAGGGUGUCUGCGGAAAAGCUGAGUAUCUUGGCUAUUGAUCGGUGCCUUCAAAUCUUACUACCAUAUAUGGGCAUAAGAAUAUAUAAGGGAAAGCCGAGCAGAUGACCUCAUUUCAAGACGGCUGCAACCUACAUCCGGGUUAUCGUUGUGAAGCAUAAACAAAAUAAACACGGAAUACCUUGAUACACACCGAAAGCCGGGACUCCACAAAUCAUGAGGAUAUUUUAUUUGUCUGCCAUUAUUGAUCACCUGACUAUUUUUUUUUACACAACAUUUUCACCAAACAGCAAACAUUUUACAAGGGCACAAUACAAGAUUGCAGAAAGACUUCGCACCAACAGCACCGGACUGGUCCAUUCCAGGUGCUCCUGACGACCCAGACAGAGGUGAAGGUUGCAGAGGUCUACGUGGGUUCACGCCAGCUACUGCAGGAUGGUGCUCCACAACCCAGACAAAGAUGUACCAGCUGAUGGAUCGUCAUAGGCGACCCCAGUGGCCAUGGGAGGACCAAGACCAGACUACGCAUCAUGUUUAUUGCUUUCGUGGUCAGACUUCUCAUUGCAGCUGUUGUAUGGGCCCUGGGAGAAGUGGCCACAAUGCAACUGAAGUAUACAACACCAGCAUAGUCCCAUGGUGGACUUAAAUAACACCCGCUCCAGCUCGAGCCAACGUCAGGCUCAGGACGGGUGUCCAGCAAACAAUAGCCGCCCCAUUUCUAGAAGAAGCAGUAGGUCGAUGCUGAACUGUGGUAGUAUGGACAGUGUCAAUGUGAUGAUUGUCCUCUUUGUACAGACAGAGUGUACUCCUGUGUAACUGUUUAAAUGAUUUGUAACUGUUUAAAUUAUUCCCUUAAAUGUUUUGCACCAUGAAGGGAAAAAAAACUCAGUGGCUCAACGGAAGCCAUUGACAAAGAUAAUGUACUGGUGUAAGAGAGCCUACAAUGCUUUAUAUUUUGCUUGGUUUAAGUUUUGCUUAGAUUAUGACAAUUGGCUUACAUUAUGAAUUAUUACUUACAUGCUUACUUGUCAUUUUGUAUUAGGUUGAAGUUAGUCUCAAAGGGGAGGAAUAUGAUGGGGAAAAUUACAAACUCUUAUGCACAUGCGCUGUAUAAGCCUUAAACCUGUACAU
ensembl:lncRNA